GCCCCCGUAGUUAAAUGGAUAUAACAACUCCGUCCUAAGGAGUGGUUGUAGGUUCGAUUCCUGCCGGGGGCA
rnacentral:tRNA from 1 species